AACGUAGGAGGCAAGCGUUAUCCGGAGUGACUGGGCGUAAAGAGCGUGUAGGCGGUUGAGUAAGUUGCGUGUGAAAGCGCCCGGCUAAACUGGGCGAGGACAGGCAAGACUGCUGAGCUAGAGGCCGAUAGAGGGGUGCGGAAUUUGGGGUGUAGCGGUGAAAUGUUUAGAGAUCCGGAGGAACACCAGUGGUGCAGACGGCGCCCUGGACCGGACCUGACGCUGAGACGCGAAAGCGUGGGGAGCGAACGGG
rnacentral:rRNA from 1 species